AUAGCGUAUAUUAAAGUUGUUGCAGUUAAAAAGCUCGUAGUUGGAUUUCAAGGGAUGCAGGGUGGAUAACACCAUUGCUCUCUACCAGUCAUAGACUGUUACUGUGAGAAAAUUAGAGUGUUUCAAGCAGGCUGUUGCAGGAAUACAUUAGCAUGGAAUAACGAAUGUGUCUAGAAUCUUGGUUAAUUCUAGAUUACGAUUAAUAGGGACAGUUGGGGGCAUUAGUAUUUAAUUGUCAGAGGUGAAAUUCUUGGAUUUGUUAAAGACUAACGUAUG
rnacentral:rRNA from 1 species